ACCUGUUUAGUAUAUAAGUAUUUUUGACUUCCAAUCAAAAGGUUUGGGUAACCAAAACAGGUA
rnacentral:tRNA from 1 species